CUCUCUCUCUCUCUCUCUCUUCUCUCUCUCUCUCUCUCUCUCUCUCUCUCUCUCUCUCUCUCUCUGUGUGUACCCAAGUGGGUGGGAACUAUAGGUCCCACCUUAACGGGCAAACAUGAUUUAUAGCAUUUGAAAUUUCUAGAAAUCAAAUUUUAUAAUUUUUUGACAUCAUUUUCCUUACGAUCAAACGAUUUCAAAAUUGAUAACUUUUAACGACCAUGGGAUACUUGCUAGUUUAACAGUGUAAGAAUCAGAAUUGGUUGAAUUUUUGAUAAAAAAAUUUUAUUUACUAUUUAAAUAAAGAGCAAUAACUCCGGUUUUAAAUUGAAGGAUUUGAUCAUCCAUUUUUAUGAUGCCGUUCUAUUUUGAUCAUUCAUUUUAUACCCACUUGAUGUACUUUUUUAUAACUUCACAAAAUUAUAAAUUUUAUUUUCUAAAAAUUGGAAUAAUCCAUUAAGGUGGGAACUAUAGUUCCCACCUUAACCAAAUAUUGUUUUAGAGGUUACGAAUAUAUCAAAAUAAUUACUUAAACUUUGUAUUGUGAAUGAUCAUGUGGCAUCAUGCUCCUUUUUAACUGCCCAGUAUUAUUUAAUUUAGUCCCCAAGACCUUUGUAAAGCCUAGUAUAAUAAUAAAGAAGUGCAACUGACUGUUCCUAAUAUAAGUGGUAAAAAAUUUGGCGGUUGAUACUCGAGAUUUCAAGUUCGAAUUCUAAUUGAUUCGUAUUUUUAGCUAAAUUUAUUUUUAAAUAAAAUAAACGAAUCAGAUAGCAUAUUUUCUCUAAGAAAUAAUAAUAAAAAUAAUAAUAAUAAUAAAGAAUUGGAUGG
rnacentral:lncRNA from 1 species